AAGCUGUCAGUCUUGUUGCUGAUGGUCUUGUAUGCUUUGGGAUAGUGAGUAAAGACAUCAGUUUGAAUUUCAGUCCAUUUCAUUAAUAUGAAAAAACUCUCUAUUGGAGCUUUAAACAUGAACAUGGAACCUGUACUCAUCAUUUUAGGAAAUUUACCAACUCGAGUUUUGGCAAUAUUAGACAUUACAGCUAGUUAGAGCCUUUGUCAGGUUGUUACAUGAAAACUAAGUGCUAAAUAAAACUAGUAUAAUUAGCACAACAUAGUUAGCUGUGCUGUUAGCAGAACUGCCAAGUUUCACAAAAAUGACAAGAGUGAGACUUUAGCGCUAUGAUGUGUUCGGACGCUGACCUGUGGCUGAAUUUUUUAAGGUCGAUUUAUACCUUAAGCGUGAUGUCCUCACCUUCAUGCCAGCAGUUCUCCCUGCACUGUGGUCUCCUAAUGCUAGUCUUAACCUACCGCCCUCCCUCAGGAUAACGUCAAAUGGCUUUUAAAUGUCGGCGCUGUUGUGUGUGAAAGGUAGUCAUAGACGCCAAGACCCGCCUUAAAUUGCUUCUGAUUGGUUUAUAUUGUGCGGUGCUGUCCAUGGUUGGUUAGAUUCAGGCACAAAGGACUGAUGGUCUGAGAUUGGUUAUCUCGGUCAGUCAAUCAGAGUUACUUGAACUACGGCAAGCCAAGGUUAUUAACAUGAAAAAAAUAAAUACAGAGUAUUGAAUGGGGAAAUAUAAGCGCGUGAAAUGUCAAGUGUGGCGUGUGGUACAAGAAUGAGUCAAAUUGCGUGACUGUCACACUCAAAGAGUGACGCUUGGCAGCUCUUUCAUAUUGUUUUGAAGAACAGACAGAGCUCCGUGAAUGAACCCAAACUGCAAGCAUGGCGAAUUCAAGCUCAACACAAACAUCAGUAUGAAUGCUUGGAAAUGAAACAUAUUUUUGUCGAUAGAUGUCCUAAAAUUUUCCUUGUUGCACCAUACAGGCUUUCAAAAUAUGUUUUUGCACAUAUCUGUAACAUAAGGGUCUCCUCAGAGCCAGAAGAUCUCCUGCUGUACGUCCCUUAUUCUGUGUUUCCUUUCUGUUAUACUAAUCUGGCUGCAGAGGAGGACAGGAUGUAGGUAAAUUCUGCUGAGAAAGAGGAUGUCUGGCUCACAUUAGAUGUUUCUGAGUCCAACCAGUUCACCGCCAAAGCUCACAUCAAAGCAAAUUUGCUUGAGCCGGAGCAAUAAAAGUCCCACUUCAGUGCAUCGUCUGGUUUUGAUGUGUUUGUUUAAGGACUUUGAAUGUUUCAGGUUAAAGGAGAGGCAUCAGAAAAUUCAAUGAAAACGGAAUAAUAAUUAGUGAUGUUUUAACUUUCUGCCCCUCAAAGGAGGCUUUUAAUGUGUGAUGGUGUUCCAGCAGUGCCUCAAGAUUGCUUUGCUUUGUGUUGUGUACGGGUAUUUAGGGAGGUUAAGCUUAUCCGCCCCUCUAAUGUGAUUAAUCCUCCAGUAAAUGUAUCAUUUGAUAAAGGAUUACUCUCUAUCUCUUUGUUGUCUUUUCACUCAGAGAAGAUCUUCCAAAGCCCAAAUGCAUCAACUAAUCUGUAUCCAAAAGUGCUCCGCUCAGACAAAAGCACUGUAUGCUAUUAGUGUAUGGGCUUACAUGACAUGAGAUCACAAAAGUUACUCUAACUCACUCAUCUCUUAAACAAAGACAGAAACUCCCUGACACAUGAUCAAAGGAUGUGUUCCUCUUAAGAUCCUUUUUUUCUCCCUGACUUCAAAGCUCUCAAACUUCUUACAUACUUCUGCUAGACAAAAAAGGGGGGAAUAAGCGUUCGUUUUGCUCCGAGCUGCAGACGGAGAGGUGAAAGCUGGCAGCAAACAUGAACACAACUAAUAAUACCUCCAUUGGUCUGUCUGCUCCUUUCAGGCUCUCUCUCUCUCUCUCUCUCUCUCUCUCUCCUGCUAUAUUUUGUGAAGGUGACAGCAUGGUGAGUCAGCUCGGACUUUCCAGUUUUCUUCCUCUUGAUCUCGCAGGAACGCGUCUCUCAUUGCCUUUCCUGGCAUCUGCAGCAGAUACACACACAUGCACACACACAUACACACACUUUUUAACAUACAGUUUUUCUCUCUUUUCUGGGAAAAACCACAUUUCACACAGGUAUUUAACAUCUCACCUCCUCCCUUCUCUUCAAUACUCGACUUUUUCCCUGAAGCAGGGCCCUGCUAACUCAUCUGAGGGGCACAGAGCGCUGGAAUCCCCCCCUGGGUCGAAGAUUAGGGCGUCUCCGAGAGACAGCCUCAUGUCACGGUAAAGCGUGAGGCUGAUCUUUUAACCUUUCUCUCCUCUGACUCGGUUUCCGCCACGGGGCUCGAGGUCUAGCUUGGACAGGUUAGGUGUACUGUUACUUGGGUGUGAGAGUGUGCCAAUGUGGAGUACAAUUUCACACCCUAACCUGAACCCUCUCUGAGAAAUACUGAGUGUUUCUUAGAUAUGGCAGAGUAAACACAACCCUCUGCACCUGAGCUGCACACAGCAGGUUUUUGGGGGUUAAGGAGACUGUGUAAAAUCCCCUGUCAUGAGUGUGCAUACACUGUGAUACUAUAGGCAUAACUACAUCUGCAGAAUGAAGAAGCAUAUCUCUUUUUCCUAGAAUCUUCUUGUAAUCAGAUAUAGCUUUGUUGACCAGUAAAGUUCAACUCAUUUUUAUUGCCUUACAUGUUUUGAUGCAGAAAUAAACAAACAUUUGAAACAAAAACAACAAACCGAACUGAUAAGGUGUAAAUCUUUCAGUAACUUCCAAUUUCAAAUAAGUUUGAUUUUGUUUCUUAAGGCAACAAUUCAAAAUCUAUUCUCAAUAAAAGAUAUACCUGAACACAUAAUGGAAGUCCUAAACCAGCUGCUUCUGUAUUCACUGGAGACUUAAAGCUCCUAUGAGGGUUUUUUUUCACAUUAAUGAAUCAUCCCAAAGUUGAUAUAAAUCCCUUUUUUUAAGAUAACCAAAAGCAAACAAGACCACCAGUGACAAGAUUGACCUUUGUUUUUUAACCCUAAUUGUUAAUUUCCAUGAAACUGGUGUAGGGGUUUAGGUGUCAGGCAAGUAACAGGGGAGGCAACCUUGUUUUUACCCAUUUCAAUCAAUUUCACAAUACAUGAUUAACUUGACUCAAAAGUCAGCAGGAUGUGAUUUUUUUGUGAGAUGAUACAACUUAAGCCCAUAGAGGGCGAGAGAUACGCAAAGGCUGCUUUGUCCAGAGGGGGCGCCAAAAUUGACUCAAUCUGGGAGAUCUUCACAGAAGCUUUAAUUUUAUAAGUAUUUUCUUUUUAGAAUUUUUAAAUAACCACACAUUAAUGCUGACUUUUUGUUAGCAUUAGACAAUCCUCACCAACCCCGACUUGAUGACAACGUCAAAAUCCAAUAUGGCAGCGCAGUGCAUAAACAGUAAAGUAACGGUGAAAGCUCUCGUAAUGUAUUAUUUAUUAGCAAUUCUGUUUUGUUCUUGUGAAAUUAAAUUGUGGUAUAUGUUGUACUGCCCAACGUCUAACUGCAAACACGGUGCUAUUGUGCUUGUAAGAGUAAAAUACUGUGUUAUGCAUUGUUCACAGCUGGUAUAGCUAACAACAACUAACAACAGCUGACAAUAGCUAAACACAGCUGACAAUUGUUAACAACAGCUAACUGUAGGCGUCCAUCUUAAGGUUCCAACUUGUUUACUGUCAACUUGGGUGUAACGUCAUUCCCAGCUCCGACAUCCGAGGUAACUGGAACGCAGCAUAAUACUGAAAUUAUUCUGCUGAGAUGCCACAAUGUCCCCAACUGUCAUAAACAGUCACAAGAACAUGAGACCCAAAUGCAGAGCACCAAGACACGAUUCACAGUCCACAAAAACAGUCCAAGCAGUAGUUCAGUACACGGGUGGUCAAAACACACAGGCAAAGGUAUCCACAAACCUUAAGGCAAAAGGCACAUCAGGGUCACAAAGAGAGUCAAAACGAGAGCUGGAACGUGAUAUGAAGUACAACGAACUGGCAACAAGACAGUGAAGGGAGCGAGGUUAAAUACACAGAGUAACGGGGAGUGAUGGGGAACAGGUGGUCUGAUCAGGAAUGAACAUCUGGUGUGACGAGACAGGAAGCAGGGGAGGAAGUAAAUGUCAAACAGAGACAGGGGUUAGUGAUUUCAAAAUAAAAGAGGAAACACAAGAUAUGACACAUGAGGGUGAGAGAAAGUACUUAACAGACAGGGAUUGUGACAUGAACAGUGGAGAAUACAUUUGCAGAAGAUGUGUGAGGGUGCAGGUCUGAGGAAACAAGACAGAUGAUGGAUUUUAAUAUGCUUUUUGACAGAUGAGAUUGGAUGGGAGUUUGGUUAUACUAUGUGCACUGGGAAGCUGUUAUUGACCUUUGCUUACUGCUUCAAACUUAGGUUGGCAGUUUGUGAGCUUGGGGAUUUCACAUUAUGUCAAGCUCCUUUAUACCUGGGUGAUUGUAGUAUCCAAAGUGCAAGACUUCACAUUAGGGUCUAAUCCACCUCAAACAGACCAGAAUCACCACCAAAGCUCAUAAUAAUGUCAAAGAGGUUUGACCAAUAAGAAACGAGUAUAUAACACAAUUAGUUGAUCAACAAAAGGGUAUGGUAAAAAAUGGUAAAAUAUUAUUGAAAAUCCCUGAUAUACUAAUGUUUAGUGUAUAUAUUUCAGUAUUUUGUAGAUGUGCAAAAUCUUUGUUCACCACAUGAACAUGCACUCACAUUGUUGCUGAAUCAGUCAUUUUGUGUAUUUGUUUUUUCAUUUGUUAUGUUCCUCUAAUUGUCAAUGGAGCAGAUUCAGAAUCAACUUGGAGUUUAUUACAGUGACAGGGCACACAAGGUUAAGUAAACAGAGCCUCAUGCUACCCUACUCAUUAUUUACAGUGUAUGGCCUAUAACUUGUCGCACUAUCAAUUUAAGAACAGCGUUCAGUGUAUGCACAGCUGCUUAUACUGUUCACUGUUUGCACCAAACAUUCAUAUAUCCAUUACACACAAGCACACACAAAAACGUGCGCACACAUGCACACAAAAACGUGCACCUGGCUUUUUUACUAAAUCUUUGAGUAAGGAGUUUUCUUACAAGUCACGAUCGCUGCCUCAGGCUGUAGCAUCCACCACCCACUCCAGAACGUGCUGGUUAAACACGGGAGCACAUUCAGUUGUUGGACUCAUUUCCCCUAAAUACACAACAGACUGUUAAAGGAAGUCAUUUGUACCUGUGGCCAUCAAACUUCAGAACUCCUCUCUCUGAGUGUCACACACUCUGUCUGUCCCUGGAAUUAUUUUACACUGUAAGCUUUGUAAUUAAAUCAAUUUAGCUGUGAAACCUGUUUGUAAAUUCAAUAAUCUAAGAGUGCAAUACUAAUAGUACUUUGCCCAUGAAGCUACAACCAUGCAAUACUCUGUUAAACUUUACAAUGUGCUAUAUCAGUACAAUGCUACAAACUGGUUUUGUAUACACUUCCUGCAAUCUUAGGAGAACAGCAGCAUACAAAAAAAUGCAUGUAAUGUAGAGUCUAAAGGAAACACAAACUCAUACCAUGAAAACACUUAACCAGAAAGAUAUGACAGAAGUGUCACUUAACAAGGGAGACGAUCCACUCAUGGUUUUAGUGAAAGAUUCAUAACAAUAGGUUAUGUAAGUGCUCAUAAAAAGAGGAACUUAAAGAAAAUAAAACACCCUUUGUGAUUUAAGAUGCUCAUUCACAGCAUUGUUCAUUCACAACCUCAGAGCUUUUUGGAAAACUGUUUUUUCAUCCAUGACGUCAUGACUUAGUCCACACAUGUCAGACAGUUGAAUCAGGCUGAUAAGAUCACCAGUCAGCAAACAAACACAUACACAAAGUGUUGAGGUUGAAUGGAUGGCUACAGUACAGCGGUAUAGUGGUAUACAGGAAAGACAGGUCUCCCAUCAACAGUAGGUGUGUUGCUGUAAAUAUAAGGACCGGGUCUUCCUAAACUUGUUGGGUCAAAAUCAGGUUUUAUAAGCAAAAACCAGAAGGCAGUAAAGCGGGGGGUCUGACAGGUAGAUGCAGGUACAGAGUUAGAUAACAAAGUUGACUGAUUACUAUCAGCCAGGCUGAAACGUGUGUUGUUGUGAGUGCAAACAGUCAGGAUGGAGAGCAAAGUGACAAUUAAAGCCCCAAAAGUCUAUUGAGUUUGUGUUUACACACGUGCAAAAGUCCGUAUCUGUAUGUGUGUGUUUACAUGUACAACAGCAGAAGCAUGCCUUUUAUUUGAUUUGUACAGGUGUGUGUGCGCGUGCGUGCGUGUGUGUGUGUGUGCAGUAUUUUUCCAACCUGUUCUGCCAUUAGAGACCAAUACAACAUCAGAAAUAAGUGGUUAAAAACAGGCAGAGGAGUGUGCCAGGGGAAACUACACCAGGUGCCCAAACCUAAGGUCAA